rnacentral:rRNA from 1 species
AACGAACGCUGGCGGCAUGCCUAACACAUGCAAGUCGAACGAGACCUUCGGGUCUAGUGGCGCACGGGUGCGUAACGCGUGGGAACCUGCCCUUAGGUUCGGAAUAACUCCCCGAAAGGGGUGCUAAUACCGGAUAAUGUCUUCGGACCAAGGAUUUAUCGCCUUUGGAUGGGCCCGCGUUGGAUUAGCUAGUUGGUAGGGUAAAAGCCUACCAAGGCGACGAUCCAUAGCUGGUCUGAGAGGAUGAUCAGCCACACUGGGACUGAGACACGGCCCAGACUCCUACGGGAGGCAGCAGUGGGGAAUAUUGGACAAUGGGCGAAAGCCUGAUCCAGCAAUGCCACGUGAGUGAUGAAGGCCUUAGGGUUGUAAAGCUCUUUUACCCGGGAUGAUAAUGACAGUACCGGGAGAAUAAGCUCCGGCUAACUCCGUG